GCCCUGCUUGCAGGUACUCGAGUGGCGAACGGGUGAGUAACACGUGGGUGAUCUGCCCUGCACUUCGGGAUAAGCUUGGGAAACUGGGUCUAAUACCGGAUAGGAACCAUCUUUAGUGUGGUGGUUGGAAAGUUUUUUCGGUGUAGGAUGAGCUCGCGGCCUAUCAGCUUGUUGGUGGGGUAAUGGCCUACCAAGGCGGCGACGGGUAGCCGGCCUGAGAGGGUGUACGGCCACAUUGGGACUGAGAUACGGCCCAGACUCCUACGGGAGGCAGCAGUGGGGAAUAUUGCACAAUGGGCGCAAGCCUGAUGCAGCGACGCCGCGUGGGGGAUGGAGGCCUUCGGGUUGUAAACUCCUUUCGCUAGGGACGAAGCUUUUUGGUGACGGUACCUAGAUAAGAAGCACCGGCUAACUACGUGCCGGCAGCCGCGGUAAUACGUAGGGUGCGAGCGUUGUCCGGAAUUACUGGGCGUAAAGGGCUCGUAGGUGGUUUGUCGCGUCGUCUGUGAAAUUCUGGGGCUUAACUCCGGGCGUGCAGGCGAUACGGGCAUAACUUGAGUGCUGUAGGGGUAACUGGAAUUCCUGGUGUAGCGGUGAAAUGCGCAGAUAUCAGGAGGAACACCGAUGGCGAAGGCAGG
rnacentral:rRNA from 1 species